UUGUAAAAUGAAGCCCAUGUUGGAGCAUGUUUUUUAUAGUAGAGUCCUAUAUUUCAAAAUAGAACCUCGUUUAGGGCUCCAAUUGAAGAUGCUCUUAGUGCGCCAGUACAUCAAGGUCCGUGCAUUAUUCUCAAGUUGGGCUCAGCCCAUGUAGGAGGAGCAUUCCAUCCGGGCCCACUUGUCAUCGGACCGAGUGGCGUCUUCCUCUUCCCUUCGUAACCUUCCAGACCCGACCGCAGCAGCCCGGGGCAACAAGCGAACCGGCGGCGUCAUCGGACCGAGUGGCGUCUUCCUCCUCCCUUCGUAACCUUCCAGACCCGACCGCAGCAGCCCGGGGCAACAAGCGAACCGGCGGCAGCGAUGGGGAUCGGUGAGCACUUCGAGGGCGUCAAGCAGCACUGGGCGAGCAACUUCGCCUUCCUCGACUACUUCAAGAAGGUCUACGGCCGCGCCGAGCCCCUCCCCAAGUGGUCCGACGCCGACGUCGACGAGUUCAUCGCCUCCGACCCGGUCUACGGGCCCCAGCUCAAGGCCCUGCGGGAGUCGAGGAAGUUCGCGCUCGCCGGGGCCCUCGUCGGCGCCGCCCACCUCGGCGGCGUCGCGCUCAAGUACUCCAAGGCGCCGCACGGCGUCCUGCUGGCGACGGGCUUCGGCGCGAUCACCGGCGCCGUGCUGGGAUCUGAGGUGGCGGACCACUGGUACCAGCUCUACGAGAUGGACAAGCAGGGGGCCAACCUCAGGUUCAUCUACUGGUGGGAGGACAAGGUCUCAGGCCACCGUACAUAGUGAUCCUGGUGUUACCCAUGUAAUGGCACGAUAGUGUAUUCUCUUCAAAGUACAGGAUGGAGCUGUGAUAGCUUCAGCCAGAAGAGCUGAACCACAUCGAGUGAUGCCUAUUCUACUGAGCACACCAGCGUGACAACAAAACAUUGACGUCUCUCAUGCCGAGUUCUUAGUUUUUCUUUCCUAGUUUUCUCUAAUAAGUGUGGAAUUGGUUGAGGAAGCCAACUGGACAAUGCAUUUUUCAUCUCCGUCAUGGGUUAUGUUCAUCCAUGGUCAAUCUGGUGUAAACAGCAAAUCCUAUCCGUUUUCGAGAUAUGUUUUCUCAAACUACUGAUGGA